rnacentral:rRNA from 1 species
GGCUUCCUACAUCCAAAAGAAAGGAAUCGGACGGCCGACUGCUUGAGGGAGGAGCCAGCUUGCUCUCUCUAAUACAGGGGGCUCAUGACGGUACCGUAAGAAUAAGCACCGGCUAACUACGUGCCAGCAGCCGCGGUAAUACGUAGGGUGCAAGCGUUAAUCGGAAUUACUGGGCGUAAAGCGUGCGCAGGCGGUUAUGUAAGACAGAUGUGAAAUCCCCGGGCUCAACCUGGGAACUGCAUUUGUGACUGCAUAGCUAGAGUACGGCAGAGGGGGAUGGAAUUCCGCGUGUAGCAGUGAAAUGCGUAGAUAUGCGGAGGAACACCGAUGGCGAAGGCAAUCCCCUGGGCCUGUACUGACGCUCAUGCACGAAAGCGUGGGGAGCAAACAGGAUUAGAUACCCUGGUAGUCCACGCCCUAAACGAUGUCAACUGGUUGUUGGGUCUUCACUGACUCAGUAACGAAGCUAACGCGUGAAGUUGACCGCCUGGGGAGUACGGCCGCAAGGUUGAAACUCAAA